GCAUGGCCGAAUUCUGUGUUACUUUGCAUGUAGUAAAUACAGUCAGACACCAUGCUACAUUAAUGUUUUCACCGACUGACUCUGCAAGAUCAGAGUGCUGCUUAUAUGCCUCGUUCUUAUGUCAGUGACAACGACACGU
ensembl:snoRNA